AUGAAGGAAGCAGUGCAACAUCGCCUGAAGCAACGUGAGGAUGAAUUCCUCAAGAUGGUUGAGGAGACACAGGACAAAGUGUUUGAAGAAAUCAGGAACAAGGCGGAUGCUAAACGGCACAGAGACCUCGAGGACACUCUUGGUGAUUUCAUGGAGCGUGUGAAGAGACAAGCUCCAAUGGCGGCAGCAUUUCCUAACGUGAGCAAGACCUCGCAUCGUCCCAGGACGAUGACAGUUGUUGCCCAAGAUCUGGCUGAAACUUCACGCGAAGCUGCGAGGUCUUUGAUGUCAGUGGUUGUUGCUAACGAGGCGACACGUGUCCAGCCAGCAGAAUUGCAUGGUGUGGCUGCUGCAACCACGGGGGUGCAAGGACCUGACCUGAAUGCAUGCCCUGGGGUGCUUGUGGGUUUGCUUGGCAAAGAAACUGCUGUCCAGGAGCCCGUUGAUGAACCAGAGGAUAAGCCUAUGAUUGUGGACCGCAAAGGCAAGGGGCCGGCUAUUGACGUGGUCUACCGCAGGUGCAGUAGACAGACAACCAUGCAUGAGGUGCUUGGCGUGGCAGGUUCUUCCUCUAGAGAUCAUGUGCCUGUCCAUCAUCCGGUGGUUGCGUCUGUAGACACUGAUAUGACUGAAGCAGUUGUGCCGGAUGCUUUGCAGAUGCAAAAUGAUGGGCUUGCAGGAAUUGCCACAACCACACAAAUAGGGAACAGGAGUUUGGCACUGCCUGGUAAUGGGGAACAAAGCAACCCGGUCCCUCUUGCGGUUGUUCCUGCUUUGCCACCUGCACGUGAUUACGGCUACUCUCCAUUUGAGCUGGAUCUAUAA
rnacentral:rRNA from 1 species